GUGAACGCUGGCGGUAGGCCUAACCCAUGCAAGUCGAACGGCAGCACAGUAAGAGCUUGCUCUUACGGGUGGCGAGUGGCGGACGGGUGGGGAAUACAUCGGAAUCUACUUUUUCGUGGGGGAUAACGUAGGGAAACUUACGCUAAUACCGCAUACGACCUACGGGUGAAAGCAGGGGAUCUUCGGACCUUGCGCGAUUGAAUGAGCCGAUGUCGGAUUAGCUAGUUGGCGGGGUAAAGGCCCACCAAGGCGACGAUCCGUAGCUGGUCUGAGAGGAUGAUCAGCCACACUGGAACUGAGACACGGUCCAGACUCCUACGGGAGGCAGCAGUGGGGAAUAUUGGACAAUGGGCGCAAGCCUGAUCCAGCCAUACCGCGUGGGUGAAGAAGGCCUUCGGGUUGUAAAGCCCUUUUGUUGGGAAAGAAAAGCAGCAGGUUAAUACCCCGCUGUUCUGACGGUACCCAAAGAAUAAGCACCGGCUAACUUCGUG
rnacentral:rRNA from 1 species